UUUUUUUAAUAUUUAUUUAUAAAAUUCGAAUAAACCCAAAUGGGCUGGGCCAGGCCUUACACGAUUGUGAUCCAUUAAGCAAAGAAAAUCGGAAAAAACUAACGGUGAAAAAAGAGAAUUCGGACCCUGUUGAUCGCCGGAGGCAGAGUGACCGGAGCCUGAGAUCCGGCGGGCUCAAGAAUCACAGCUUUGCGGCCACGACGAAGGAUCGAAAACCAUGGACGAAAGAGACCGGUUUCCAUCUUUGAUCCCUUUCCUCCGCCGCACCAGACCCACCACAAGUCUCCCGGAAAGCUAGUCACCCCGACAACACGGUUCCACGGUGGCAGAUCCCAACCUAGCAAUCCGCCACUCUCAGAUCUAACCUUCUCUUUCCUUCACCGCAGUUUACCGAGAUCCGAGCAAACUCUUCCUCGAUCUGGACGGAGAGAUACCAAACACGGCAGAAACAGAAAGCGGCGGCUCAAACCAAACCCUCUGCAACCAAUAACCCGCAUCAGCCAUCUAAGAUCAUACAUAUCUACCGCUAACUCCCACAUCAAAACGCGAAACCUUCCUAAGCCCCACCAACUUCCGCCGUUGUCCCAGCUCAUAGAAGAGGCGACUGAGCCAAGAAGAACUCUGAAGCAUCCCCGCCGUCUUCAAAAACGGGAACCACCGCUACAAAGAACUCCAAUCGCACCACCACAGCCACGACAACAUCGAAGGGGCUACCACACCACCGCAGACAGAGAAGAGGAGCUGCUCACCCAUGGAUCUCAAUCGAUUGACCUUGGCCAAAGAUGAAGCACUGAUCGGAAAAAAGGAAGGAAGAAGAAAACUCUAGAUCUAAAAUUUGCCCACAAGAGAGAGAGAAGCGCUAAUACCAAUGCAGCGAUUGUGCUUUUGUGUCAAUUGCGUAUUAUUUCCCUGUUUCUGUCUAAGAAAAAAGGUUGUAUAAUGAUAUAUAUGAGUAUUUUCUUUUUCAUCACUUAUAUACAAUGGAAAAGGUUUGAUCCGUUACUCUCUAUAGAAAAAAUAAAUUGGAAUUCUGAAUUAUCUUCAUUUUUAUGUAUAGAUUUCUAAACUAGCAAUAACUUACAGAUGAACAAUCUCUAAAAAAAAAGGAAAAAAGAAAAGAAACUACUCAUAAAUUAAAUAAUGUCGUACCAAUUCCCAUUUGUUUUUGUUUUCGUACGACGUAUCUUAAAUAUAAUGUCGAUAGGGGUUUUUUUUUUUUUUUUUUUGGGUAGAUGCAUGAACCUCUCUAAUAAAGCCUAGUUGGUGUAAUAAGAAUUUAAAGAGGGUCCCGCCAAUGUUUCGAAGAUUGCACAGAAUCUAAUUUGUUUGUUUUUUGAGAGAUUUGUCUAAAUU
rnacentral:lncRNA from 1 species